rnacentral:rRNA from 1 species
GCACAAGCGGUGGAGCAUGUGGCUUAAUUCGACGCAACGCGAAGAACCUUACCAAGGCUUGACAUAUACCGGAAACGUGCAGAGAUGUACGCCCCCUUGUGGUCGGUAUACAGGUGGUGCAUGGUUGUCGUCAGCUCGUGUCGUGAGAUGUUGGGUUAAGUCCCGCAACGAGCGCAACCCUCGUUCUGUGUUGCCAGCAUGCCUUUCGGGGUGAUGGGGACUCACAGGAGACUGCCGGGGUCAACUCGGAGGAAGGUGGGGACGACGUCAAAUCAUCAUGCCCCUUAUGUCUUGGGCUGCACACGUGCUACAAUGGCCGGUACAAUGAGCUGCGAUACCGCGAGGUGGAGCGAAUCUCAAAAAGCCGGUCUCAGUUCGGAUUGGGGUCUGCAACUCGACCCCAUGAAGUCGGAGUUGCUAGUAAUCGCAGAUCAGCAUUGCUGCGGUGAAUACGUUCCCGGGC